AGAAUGUGACUGUGGAAAGUUUGGAUCGUGUUACUUCGCCGGAAACGAUAAAAAAUGCAACUGCAGCGAUGGAUACGUAGCGAAGGAUGGUAUAUGCGUGGAAUGUGACUGUGGAGAUCAUGGGACUUGUUCUUUUGACGAAAAUGGGAAGAAAGUCUGCCAUUGUGAUGCUUCGUAUUCUCUAAGCGAAGGAAGGUGUCAAAAGGUGUGCAGAGACGACUGCAUGAAUGGCGGUACGUGUCAAAGU